UACAUAUUGUUUUUGUUUAGUUUGUGGACAAAGUUUUAUACAAGUGGGAAAAAUAAAUCCCCAUUUAUUAUCCAGAACUCAUUGUUCAAAUAUGAAUUAUGAUACAGAUAAGAAAAAAUAUG
rfam:Canis lupus familiaris chromosome 27, whole genome shotgun sequence.